GACGAACGCUGGCGGCGUGCUUAACACAUGCAAGUCGAACGGAAAGGCCCUGCUUUUGUGGGGUGCUCGUGUGGCGAACGGGUGAGUAACACGUGAGUAACCUGCCCUUGUCUUUGGGAUAACAUCAGGAAACUGGGGCUCAUACCGGGUAGGAGCUCUUGCUGCAUGGUGGGGGAUGGAAAGUUUCGGCGGUUGGGGAUGGACUCGCGGCUUAUCAGCUGGUUGGUGGGGUAGUGGCUUACCAAGGCUGUGACGGCUAGCCGACCUGAGAGGGUGAACAGCCACAAUGGUACUGAGAUACGGCGCAGACUCCAACGGGACGCAGCGGUGGGGAAUAUUACGCAAUGAGCGGAAGCCUGAUGCAGCAACGCCGCGUGCGGGAUGACGGCCUUCGGGUUGUAAACCGCUUUCGCCUGUGACGAAGCGUGAGUGACGGUAAUGGGUAAAGAAGCACCGGCUAACUACGUG
rnacentral:rRNA from 1 species